UUACCUAACCUAUACUUAACAAUACUUUGCCAUAAAAGAUUGGUUCAUCGGUUUUAAAAUUUUGCAAUUCGCAAUCGGAUAAUUUAUGACAAUAACUAUUUAAAUGCUGCAAAGGAGGCAUCGUCGCAUAAGAAAAUUAUUUCUGGUUCUAUGCACAGUUAUAUUGCGUGUUAUGGGUUUCAUAGUUGUUUGAAAAUAUAAAAUAAAUAGGUAUAUAAACAAGGAAAAGAAACUGAAGGAGGGAGCAGACCCACCACACUGCUCGAAAUUUGGGGUUAAGCCCCCCCGGCUUCAACACUUGUGAUGAUUACCAAGACCGACAGCUAAAAAUGCGAAGCAUGGUGGUGGACACCAUCUAGUUUCUAACUUCAGGUUUAAUUGGAUUUUUCAAUAAGUCCCCACGUAAGUCCUACUUCUAGAGAGACAUCAAUAGAUCUUGCAAAUGGUGAUAGAAGCAGUGUCAGAAAAGUAAUGGCAGGCAGGCUGGAUGCAAGAGGCUGCAUUCUGUAAUAGAAAUGGACCCUUGCAGACACAUUAUUUUGCGUCUUGAUACUAUAUUUUGUAUCUCUAUCCAUGCAAAUAAAUACUAAUUGAAGUGUC